GGCAGCCACACCACCUUCCGUUACGAUGUACUCGACCGGCUGAUACAGGAAACCGGCUUUGACGGCCGCACACAGC
rnacentral:tRNA from 1 species